rnacentral:rRNA from 1 species
CGUAAUGGGGCAGUAUCCAUACGUGAAUCCAUAGCGUAUGGAGGGCAUACCCGGGGAACUGAAACAUCUAAGUACCCGGAGGAGAAGAAAGCAAACGCGAUUCCCUGAGUAGCGGCGAGCGAAACGGGAGAAGCCCAAACCAAGAGGCGUGCCUCUUGGGGUUGUAGGACACUCAAUACGGAGUGACAAAGGAACGGAGUAGACGAAGCGGUCUGGAAAGGCCCGCCAGAGGAGGUAACAGCCCUGUAGUCGAAACUUCGUUCCCUCCUGAGUGGAUCCUGAGUACGGCGGGACACGUGAAAUCCCGUCGGAAGCAGGGAGGACCAUCUCCCAAGGCUAAAUACUCCCUAGUGACCGAUAGUGAACCAGUACCGUGAGGGAAAGGUGAAAAGCACCCCGGGAGGGGAGUGAAAGAGAACCUGAAACCGUGUGCCUACAAGUAGUCAGAGCGCAUUCAUGCGUGAUGGCGUGCCUUUUGUAGAAUGAACCGGCGAGUUACGGUGGCGUGCGAGGUUAAGUCGAAAAGACGGAGCCGCAGCGAAAGCGAGUCUGAAUAGGGCGUAUAGUACGUCGCCGUAGACCCGAAACCAGGUGAUCUACCCAUGUCCAGGGUGAAGGUAGGGUAACACCUACUGGAGGCCCGAACCCACGCACGUUGAAAAGUGCGGGGAUGAGGUGUGGGUAGGGGUGAAAUGCCAAUCGAACUUGGAGAUAGCUGGUUCUCCCCGAAAUAGCUUUAGGGCUAGCCUCAAGUGAAGAGUCUUGGAGGUAGAGCACUGAUUGGGCUAGGGGCCCUCAUCGGGUUACCGAACUCAGUCAAACUCCGAAUGCCAAUGACUUAUGCUUGGGAGUCAGACUACGAGUGAUAAGAUCCGUGGUCAAAAGGGAAACAGCCCAGAUCACCAGCUAAGGUCCCAAAGUAUACGUUAAGUGGAAAAGGAUGUGGAGUUGCCCAGACAACCAGGAUGUUGGCUUAGAAGCAGCCACCAUUUAAAGAGUGCGUAAUAGCUCACUGGUCGAGUGACUCUGCGCCGAAAAUGUACCGGGGCUAAACGUAUCACCGAAGCUGUGGGAUGACUGACGUCAUCGGUAGGGGAGCGUUCUAAGGGCAGAGAAGCCGGACCGGAAGGACCGGUGGAGCGCUUAGAAGUGAGAAUGCCGGUAUGAGUAGCGAAAACAGAGGUGAGAAUCCUCUGCACCGAAAGCCUAAGGUUUCCUGAGGAAGGCUCGUCCGCUCAGGGUUAGUCGGGACCUAAGCCGAGGCCGAAAGGCGUAGGCGAUGGACAACAGGUAGAGAUUCCUGUACCACCUCCUCUCCGUUUGAGCGAUGGGGGGACGCAGGAGGAUAGGGCAAGCGCGCGACUGGUUGUGCGCGUCCAAGCAGUUAGGCGCCUCAAGUAGGCAAAUCCGCUUGAGUAGGCUGAGCUGUGACGGCGAGGGAAAAAUAGUACCGAAGUUCCUGAUUCCACACUGCCAAGAAAAGCCUCUAGCGAGGAGAGAGGUGCCCGUACCGCAAACCGACACAGGUAGGCGAGGAGAGAAUCCUAAGGUGCGCGGGAGAACUCUCGUUAAGGAACUCGGCAAAAUGACCCCGUAACUUCGGGAGAAGGGGUGCUCUCAUGGGUGCAAAGCCCGAGAGAGCCGCAGUGAAAAGGCCCAAGCGACUGUUUAACAAAAACACAGGUCUCUGCGAAGCCGAAAGGCGAAGUAUAGGGGCUGACACCUGCCCGGUGCUGGAAGGUUAAGGGGAGCGCUUA